UAAAUGAAAGAUGCGUAAGGUGUCAGUCGGACAAAAUGUCAGGACUGGUGAAAAGGGAAACAGGUGCGAAUCCUGUACGAACUCGUCACCGUAUUUCGUGAGCAACAGCCGUAAGACCACUGGGAGACCGGGAAGGUAAGCUGGAUGCGUCUGAACGAUCAGCCGGGAGACCUGCCUUUCGCAGUACAGGAAC
rnacentral:ncRNA from 2 species